CCUACGGGAGGCAGCAGUGGGGAAUCUUGCGCAAUGGGCGAAAGCCUGACGCAGCCAUGCCGCGUGUAUGAUGAAGGUCUUAGGAUUGUAAAAUACUUUCACCGGUGAAGAUAAUGACUGUAGCCGGAGAAGAAGCCCCGGCUAACUUCGUGCCAGCAGCCGCGGUAAUACGAAGGGGGCUAGCGUUGCUCGGAAUUACUGGGCGUAAAGGGAGCGUAGGCGGACAUUUAAGUCAGAGGUGAAAUCCCGGAGCUUAACUUCGGAACUGCCUUUGAUACUGGGUGUCUUGAGUGUGAGAGAGGUAUGUGGAACUCCGAGUGUAGAGGUGAAAUUCGUAGAUAUUCGGAAGAACACCAGUGGCGAAGGCGACAUACUGGCUCAUUACUGACGCUGAGGCUCGAAAGCGUGGGGAGCAAACAGGAUUAGAUACCCUGGUAGUCCACGCCGUAAACGAUGAUUGCUAGUUGUCGGGAAGCUUGCUUCUCGGUGACGCNGCUACGCAUAAGUACACUCCGCCGUGGGAGGUACGGUCGCGAGAAUUAAAACGUUAAAAGUAAGUUAGACGCGNGAGAGUCGACCGACGACGACGACGAGGGAGGUAGG
rnacentral:rRNA from 1 species